rnacentral:pre_miRNA from 1 species
UUUGUACUCCCUUCGUCCCAAAAUUCUUGUCUUAAAUUUGUCUAAAUACGGAUGUAUCUAGUUACAUUUUAGUGUCAGAUACAUCCAUAUCUAAACAAAUGUAAGACAAGAAUUUUGGGACGGAGGGAAUACUAC